AAUCCAUAGGUUAAUGAGGCGAACCGGGGGAACUGAAACAUCUAAGUACCCCGAGGAAAAGAAAUCAACCGAGAUUCCCCCAGUAGCGGCGAGCGAACGGGGAGGAGCCCAGAGCCUGAAUCAGCAUGUGUGUUAGUGGAAGCGUCUGGAAAGGCGCGCGAUACAGGGUGACAGCCCCGUACACAAAAGCGCAUGUGCUGUGAGCUCGAUGAGUAGGGCGGGACACGUGGUAUCCUGUCUGAAUAUGGGGGGACCAUCCUCCAAGGCUAAAUACUCCUGACUGACCGAUAGUGAACCAGUACCGUGAGGGAAAGGCGAAAAGAACCCCGGCGAGGGGAGUGAAAAAGAACCUGAAACCGUGUACGUACAAGCAGUGGGAGCACAGGUUUACCUGUGUGACUGCGUACCUUUUGUAUAAUGGGUCAGCGACUUAUAUUCUGUAGCAAGGUUAACCGAAUAGGGGAGCCGGAGGGAAACCGAGUCUUAAUUGGGCGUUAAGUUGCAGGGUAUAGACCCGAAACCCGGUGAUCUAGCCAUGGGCAGGUUGAAGGUUGGGUAACACUAACUGGAGGACCGAACCGACUAAUGUUGAAAAAUUAGCGGAUGACCUGUGGCUGGGGGUGAAAGGCCAAUCAAACCGGGAGAUAGCUGGUUCUCCCCGAAAGCUAUUUAGGUAGCGCCUCGUGAAUUCAUCUCCGGGGGUAGAGCACUGUUUCGGCUAGGGGGCCAUCCCGGCUUACCAACCCGAUGCAAACUGCGAAUACCGGAGAAUGUUAUCACGGGAGACACACGGCGGGUGCUAACGUCCGUCGUGAAGAGGGAAACAACCCAGACCGCCAGCUAAGGUCCCAAAGUCAUGGUUAAGUGGGAAACGAUGUGGGAAGGCCCAGACAGCCAGGAUGUUGGCUUAGAAGCAGCCAUCAUUUAAAGAAAGCGUAAUAGCUCACUGGUCGAGUCGGCCUGCGCGGAAGAUGUAACGGGGCUAAACCAUGCACCGAAGCUGCGGCAGCGACACUGUGUGUUGUUGGGUAGGGGAGCGUUCUGUAAGCCUGCGAAGGUGGCCUGUGAGGGUUGCUGGAGGUAUCAGAAGUGCGAAUGCUGACAUAAGUAACGAUAAAGCGGGUGAAAAGCCCGCUCGCCGGAAGACCAAGGGUUCCUGUCCAACGUUAAUCGGGGCAGGGUGAGUCGACCCCUAAGGCGAGGCCGAAAGGCGUAGUCGAUGGGAAACGGGUUAAUAUUCCCGUACUUGGUGUUACUGCGAAGGGGGGACGGAGAAGGCUAUGUUGGCCGGGCGACGGUUGUCCCGGUUUAAGCGUGUAGGUGUGUGUUCCAGGUAAAUCCGGUUCACUUUAACACUGAGGCGUGACGACGAGGCACUACGGUGCUGAAGCAACAAAUGCCCUGCUUCCAGGAAAAGCCUCUAAGCAUCAGGUAACAUCAAAUCGUACCCCAAACCGACACAGGUGGUCAGGUAGAGAAUACCAAGGCGCUUGAGAGAACUCGGGUGAAGGAACUAGGCAAAAUGGUGCCGUAACUUCGGGAGAAGGCACGCUGACACGUAGGUGAAGUGAUUUACUCAUGGAGCUGAAGUCAGUCGAAGAUACCAGCUGGCUGCAACUGUUUAUUAAAAACACAGCACUGUGCAAACACGAAAGUGGACGUAUACGGUGUGACGCCUGCCCGGUGCCGGAAGGUUAAUUGAUGGGGUCAGCGCAAGCGAAGCUCCUGAUCGAAGCCCCGGUAAACGGCGGCCGUAACUAUAACGGUCCUAAGGUAGCGAAAUUCCUUGUCGGGUAAGUUCCGACCUGCACGAAUGGCGUAAUGAUGGCCAGGCUGUCUCCACCCGAGACUCAGUGAAAUUGAACUCGCUGUGAAGAUGCAGUGUACCCGCGGCAAGACGGAAAGACCCCGUGAACCUUUACUAUAGCUUGACACUGAACAUUGAGCCUUGAUGUGUAGGAUAGGUGGGAGGCUUUGAAGUGUGGACGCCAGUCUGCAUGGAGCCGACCUUGAAAUACCACCCUUUAAUGUUUGAUGUUCUAACGUGGACCCGUUACCCGGGUUGCGGACAGUGUCUGGUGGGUAGUUUGACUGGGGCGGUCUCCUCCUAAAGAGUAACGGAGGAGCACGAAGGUUGGCUAAUCCUGGUCGGACAUCAGGAGGUUAGUGCAAUGGCAUAAGCCAGCUUGACUGCGAGCGUGACGGCGCGAGCAGGUGCGAAAGCAGGUCAUAGUGAUCCGGUGGUUCUGAAUGGAAGGGCCAUCGCUCAACGGAUAAAAGGUACUCCGGGGAUAACAGGCUGAUACCGCCCAAGAGUUCAUAUCGACGGCGGUGUUUGGCACCUCGAUGUCGGCUCAUCACAUCCUGGGGCUGAAGUAGGUCCCAAGGGUAUGGCUGUUCGCCAUUUAAAGUGGUACGCGAGCUGGGUUUAGAACGUCGUGAGACAGUUCGGUCCCUAUCUGCCGUGGGCGCUGGAGAACUGAGGGGGGCUGCUCCUAGUACGAGAGGACCGGAGUGGACGCAUCACUGGUGUUCGGGUUGUCAUGCCAAUGGCACUGCCCGGUAGCUAAAUGCGGAAGAGAUAAGUGCUGAAAGCAUCUAAGCACGAAACUUGCCCCGAG
rnacentral:rRNA from 2 species